rnacentral:rRNA from 1 species
GACGAACGCUGGCGGCGUGCUUAACACAUGCAAGUCGAACGGAAAGGCCCUGCUUUUGUGGGGUGCUCGAGUGGCGAACGGGUGAGUAACACGUGAGUAACCUGCCCUUGGCUUUGGGAUAACUUCAGGAAACUGGGGCUAAUACCGGAUAGGAGCUCCUGCUGCAUGGUGGGGGUUGGAAAGUUUCGGCGGUUGGGGAUGGACUCGCGGCUUAUCAGCUUGUUGGUGGGGUAGUGGCUUACCAAGGCUUUGACGGGAAGCCGGCCUGAGAGGGUGACCGGCCACAUUGGGACUGAGAUACGGCCCAGACUCCUACGGGAGGCAGCAGUGGGGAAUAUUGCACAAUGGGCGGAAGCCUGAUGCAGCAACGCCGCGUGCGGGAUGACGGCCUUCGGGUUGUAAACCGCUUUCGCCUGUGACGAAGCGUGAGUGACGGUAAUGGGUAAAGAAGCACCGGCUAACUACGUG